rnacentral:rRNA from 1 species
AGCGAACGCUGGCGGCAGGCUUAACACAUGCUAGUCGAGCGGGCAUCCUUGUGGUGUCAGCGGCAGACGGGUGAGUAACGCGUGGGAACGUGCCCUUCGGUUCGGAAUAACUCAGGGAAACUUGAGCUAAUACCGGAUACGUGCGAGAGCAGAAAGGUUUAUCUGCCGAAGGAUCGGCCCGCGUCUGAUUAGCUAGUUGGUGAGGUUAUGGCUCACCAAGGCGACGAUCAGUAGCUGGUCUGAGAGGAUGAUCAGCCACACUGGGACUGAGACACGGCCCAGACUCCUACGGGAGGCAGCAGUGGGGAAUAUUGGACAAUGGGGGCAACCCUGAUCCAGCCAUGCCGCGUGAGUGAUGACGGCCUUAGGGUUGUAAAGCUCUUUUCUCCGGGACGAUAAUGACGGUACCGGAGGAAUAAGCCCCGGCUAACUUCGUG